rnacentral:rRNA from 1 species
CGAGUCAUUGUAGUAAUACAAGGGCAGACGGCUCAGGUAACGCGAUAGUUCAACCUAACCUAUGGACGGGGAUAACCUCGGGAAACUGAGAAUAAUACCCGAUAGAACAUUAUGCCUGGAACGGUUUAUGUUUCAAAUAAUUUAUUGCCGUAGGAUGGGACUGCGGCCUAUCAGUUUGUUGGUGAGGUAAUGGCCCACCAAGACUAUUACAGGUACGGGCUCUGAGAGGAGUAGCCCGGAGAUGGGUACUGAGACAAGGUCCCAGGCCCCACGGGGCGCAGCAGUUGCGAAAACUCGCCAAUGCACGAAAGUGUGAGCGGGCUACCCCGAGUGCUGUCCGCUGAGGAUAGCUUUUCCCUGGUGUAAGGAGCCAGGGGAAUAAGGAGAGGGCAAGACUGGUGUCAGCCGCCGCGGUAAUACCAGCUCUCCGAGUGGUAAGGAUGAUUAUUGGGCUUAAAGCGUCCGUAGCCGGUCUAACAAGUCUCUUGUUAAAUCCAACGAUUCAAUCGUUGGACUGCGGGAGAUACUGUCAGACUAGGAGGCGGGAGAGGUCGACGGUACUCUUGGAGUAGGGGUGAAAUCCUGUAAUCCCAGGAGGACCACCAGUGGCGAAGGCUGUCGACUGGCACGCGCUCGACGGUGAGGGACGAAAGCUUGGGGAGCGAACCGGAUUANAUACCCGGGUAGUCCAAGCUGUAAACGAUGCGGGCUAGGUGUUGGGGUGGCUACGAGCCACUUCAGUGCCGCAGCGAA